AUGAGACCACGUAACCUGAAUGGAAUGGUUGCAGUGAGAGGGAAAUCGGUAAAGGUACCUAGAGAAAUCGCGCUGACGAAGAUCAUGGAGGACAAUAUGAAGAUGAUAAAUGAUGCCCGCCCUAGCCAAUUGACCAAUUUCCUUGCGACCCGCUGGCCAACAAUCGCGGCAACAAAUGUCAGGCUAGUGAAGAAGAGAGCUGCACAAAUUUCAGACAAAAAUAGUAAGAUAGCAGUGCAUGAUCACUACCCCCAUAGGAGAAACAGAGAAAGAGACAGUACCGUACGGUACAGGGAACCGUUUCAGGAGGUAGUAUUCCACGGCCGCCAUGGAAGAUGA
rnacentral:rRNA from 1 species